rnacentral:tRNA from 2 species
GCGCUCGUAGCUCAAAGGAUAGAGUACCAGCCUGCGGAGCUGGUGAUACAGGUUCGAUUCCUGUCGAGCGCA